rnacentral:piRNA from 1 species
UGACUCCAUGUUCUUGGCCAUGCUAGCUGU